UACGGGGGGAGCAAGCGUUGUUCGGAUUUACUGGGCGUAAAGGGCGCGUAGGCGGCCACCGCAAGUCGACUGUGAAUUCUCCGGGCUUAACCCGGAGAGGUCAGCCGAUACUGCGGGGCUAGAGUGCAGAAGGGGCAACUGGAAUUCUCGGUGUAGCGGUGAAAUGCGUAGAUAUCGAGAGGAACACCUGAGGUGAAGACGGGUUGCUGGGCUGACACUGACGCUGAGGCGCGAAAGCCAGGGGAGCAAACGGG
rnacentral:rRNA from 1 species